rnacentral:tRNA from 2 species
GCCUCUCUGUCCCAACUGGCAGAGGAGCCGCCCUCAAAAGGCGGUAGUUCCCGGUUCGAAUCCGGGGAGGGGCA